rnacentral:rRNA from 1 species
GGAAUCUUGCGCAAUGAGCGAAAGCUUGACGCAGCAACGCCGCGUGGGGGAAGAAUGCCUUCGGGUUGUAAACCCCUUUCAGGAGGAACGAAGGAUCGGCCGUUAAUAGCGGUCCGGUUUGACGGUACCUUCAGAAGAAGCCCCGGCUAACUACGUGCCAGCAGCCGCGGUAAUACGUAGGGGGCAAGCGUUGUCCGGAAUCAUUGGGCGUAAAGCGCGCGUAGGCGGCUCGAUAAGUCUGCUGUGAAAGUCAAAGGCUCAACCUUUGAAAGCCGGUGGAAACUAUCGAGCUAGAGUCCGGAAGAGGCGAGUGGAAUUCCUGGUGUAGCGGUGGAAUGCGCAGAUAUCAGGAAGAACACCAACGGCGAAGGCAGCUCGCUGGGACGGUACUGACGCUAAGGCGCGAAAGCGUGGGGAGCAAACAGGAUUAGAUACCCUGGUAGUCCACGCCGUAAACGAUGGGCACUAGGUGUGGGAGGUGUCGACUCCUCCCGUGCCGACGCUAACGCAUUAAGUGCCCCGCCUGGGGAGUACGGCCGCAAGGCUAAAACUCAAAGGAAUUGACGG